UUCUGGGUUUCUUGUUUGUUUGAUUGGUUUGUAGAUUCCACAUAUAAAUGAAAUCAUAUGGUAUCUGUCUUUCUUGUCUGACUGUUUUCACUUAACGUUAGACUCUCUAGGACCAUUUACGUUGUUGCAAAAACAAGUUAAUUUGGGUGCUUGAACAAAAAAAUUUACUAAUUGUUCUUAGUCAUAUUUUCUGUGGGGAGGCAGGUAGAGAAUGCUAUCCAGAGAACACAGUAACAGAGCAAUUAGUUAACUGAGAAAGAAGAAAUUCAGAGAGUGGGAAAAUAAAAAAUAAUAAAUUCUGAAAUAUACCCAAUAUUGUCCUAUAAAAAUAUAGCAAAAUUUAUUUGCUUCAAAAUGUAUUCGACUUGGAUUGUCACAAAUAUGCCUCAAUUUACUGACUCUCAGGCUGACUAAAUGUAAUAACCAAACAGAAGGAGAGAGGGGUGGGAUGAGAUACAACUGAGCUCUCCCUCCAGCCUGUUGCUCAGAGAGCACUUGCAUCUCACCUCCGUUCUUGAGCUGCUUCUGCCCUGCGAAGGCUGCUGCAGCUCAUGGGGCUGUAACAUGGGCCAGAGCACUCAGCUGCACAUUACUGCCCUGGGUUCUCCAACAUCUGCCACUGACGCCAACUCAGACACUCUGCGGCGCCUGCUCCCCACUCAAGGAACACAUUGGGCAGUGGUGACAGGCCAAACAGAGAGGUUUGUGUUCAGGGCUGAACCACUGUGGGAGGAUCUUGUAUACCUUGCCCGCAGUAAUAAACUCCAGCAUCAUCAGCCUCCACUCUGCUGAUUCUCAGGGUGAAAUCUGUCCCUGACCCGCUGCCACUGAACCUGUCUGGGACCCCAGGGUCUCUGUUGGAGACCUUAUAGAUCAAACGCUGUGGAGACUGGCCUGGCUUCUGUUGGAACCAAUACAAAUAGGUGUUCCCAUUACUGUGCAGGAGGCUCUGACUGGCCUUGCAGGAGAUGGAGGCCGGCUCUCCAGGGCUGACGGACAGGGACAGUGGGGUCUGUGUCAUGACAAUAUCCCCACUGGAUCCUAAAAUAAUGAGAGAUAAGUACAAGUUGUGUUAGAAACAGUAUAAGACAUUUCAAUCAUUUUGGGUUUUGUAUAUUUUAGGCUAAAUCAUAUUUUGAUUUUGAUUUAUAUUUUAAAUCUAUUCAAUUAUCAUGGAAAACCCAAGAUAGCAAGACAGAGUGACUUCUUUCUUCCUUAGCAUCUCACUAAAGUACUGUUCAUCAAAUAUUUUAUAUUCUUCUUAAUUCUCACAGUCUAAAAAUUAAAUUCCCCCUGUUGGAGGGCAAUCUGUCCCAUGCACAGAAUACACAGGGAGAGAAACAGCACCAGGGGAGCUGACCAUCCACGCCCCCAUGUCUUUCCUCAUCCCCGCCCUGUCCUUACCUGGGAUCCAGAGCAUCAGCAGCCCCAGGAGCUGAGAAGGGAACCUCAUCUUGAGAAGCUGAGCUGAGGAGCCCUAGUAAGUAAAGACAAGCCUAGAGCUGACCUUUAUCUCAGACUUUCAAGGGAAGGUCCUCCCCAGGGGACAAUAUGCAAAUCCCCUGGUGGGUGUGGCAGAGUGGAAAGAGGCACAGGCAGGUGCAGGUCCCUCUCCUGCCAGUGUAGUAGCUUAAAAGGUCUUCUGUGCUGGGAGGAAAGCUAACAGAGACAAAUUCUUUACUGCCUGAGUAGGAAGAAGGAUCGAAUUGAGAAAGUCAAGAUCUGUGGGAGACAGUGCUCAGAGUCCUGCCCUUCUGUGAAACCAGCAGAGACGUGAAGGUGUAGUGGCCAGUGUCCAUUUCUGGCAGGUGAAUGGCCCUUCUGCUUGAAUUCCUGUCUGCAGGAAGGUCCCGGGGGAAACAGCUGACACUCCCAAUUGCAGCUGAGUGGCAGAGGAUCUCCAAAUCACGGGAAGAACUGGAGAUGUUCUAGAGUCUAUGGGGUCUCCUGUUUCCAGGCUGAUGGUUUAAGACUGUUUAAUAAUGAUUUAAAAUAAAAUCACCCUGGGACCUUCUGAAUUAUGCUCUAUGAGAAGUUGAAAGCAAAAAACCUGCCAAGUAGGAAGAUUCUCUCACUUACAGGAAGAGAACUAAGAGUCACAUGGUAGAGAAUAUGAAAGAAGACAGACAGAAUUUUAGGCUUCAGCCUCCCUAAUGAACGCUGUUAGUGAAUGAAUUCAGAAAGACAAGCCACAAUAAUGAAAAAUGCCAGUAUGAAGACAAAAAGGAAAAUAUAAGACAAUAUUAUAAAUGUUAAGGUCUAAAAAUUAAAUUCUCCUCGUUGGAGGGCAAUCUCCCGCAUGCACAGAAUACACAGGGAAAGAAACAACACCAGGGGAGCUCACCAUCCAUGCCCCCAUGUCUUUCCUCAUCCCCCUCCCUGUCCUUACCUGGGAUCCAGAGCAUCAGCAGCCCCAGGAGCUGAGAAGGGAACCUCAUCUUGAGAAGCUGAGCUGAGGAGCCCUAGUAAGUAAAGACAAGCCUAGAGCUGACCUUUAUCUCAGACUUUCAAGGGAAGGUCCUCCCCAGGGGACAAUAUGCAAAUCCCCUGGUGGGUGUGGCAGAGUGGAAAGAGGCACAGGCAGGUGCAGGUCCCUCUCCUGCCAGUGUAGUAGCUUAAAAGGUCUUCUGUGCUGGGAGGAAAGCUAACAGAGACAAAUUCUUUACUGCCUGAGUAGGAAGGAGGAUCGAAGGGGAAAGUCAGGAUCUGUGGGAAGACAGUGCUCAGAGUCCUGCCCUUCUGUGAAACCAGCAGAGACGUGAAGGUGUAGUGGCCAGUGUCCAUUUCUGGCAGGUGAAAGGCCCUCCUGUUUGGAUUCCUGUCUGCUAAGGU